GACGAACGCUGGCGGCGUGCCUAAUACAUGCAAGUCGAGCGAAUCUGAGGGAGCUUGCUCCCAAAGAUUAGCGGCGGACGGGUGAGUAACACGUGGGCAACCUGCCUAUAAGACUGGGAUAACUUCGGGAAACCGGAGCUAAUACCGGAUAAUUCUUUUCUACACAAGUAGGAAAGCUGAAAGACGGUUUACGCUGUCACUUAUAGAUGGGCCCGCGGCGCAUUAGCUAGUUGGUGAGGUAACGGCUCACCAAGGCGACGAUGCGUAGCCGACCUGAGAGGGUGAUCGGCCACACUGGGACUGAGACACGGCCCAGACUCCUACGGGAGGCAGCAGUAGGGAAUCUUCCGCAAUGGACGAAAGUCUGACGGAGCAACGCCGCGUGAGUGAUGAAGGUUUUCGGAUCGUAAAACUCUGUUGUUAGGGAAGAACAAGUACGAGAGUAACUGCUCGUACCUUGACGGUACCUAACCAGAAAGCCACGGCUAACUACGUGCCAGCCGCCGCGGUAAUAC
rnacentral:rRNA from 1 species